rnacentral:rRNA from 1 species
UGGGGGAUAUUGCACAAUGGGCGAAAGCCUGAUGCAGCGACGCCGCGUGGGGGAUGAAGGCCUUCGGGUUGUAAACUUCUUUUGCUCUGAACAAGGCAUGCUAAUGGGUGUGUUGAGUGUAGGGGUUGAUUAGCGCCGGCUAACUACGUGCCAGCAGCCGCGGUAAUACGUAGGGCGCGAGCGUUGUCCGGAAUUAUUGGGCGUAAAGGGCUUGUAGGUGGCUGGUUGCGUCUGUCGUGAAAGCUCAUGGCUUAACUGUGGGUUUGCGGUGGGUACGGGCUGGCUUGAGUGCAGUAGGGGAGGCUGGAAUUCCUGGUGUAGCGGUGGAAUGCGCAGAUAUCAGGAAGAAAACCGGUGGCGAAGGCGGGUCUCUGGGCUGUUACUGACACUGAGGAGCGAAAGCAUGGGGAGCGAACAGG